rnacentral:rRNA from 1 species
UAAGCGGAGGAAAAGAAACUAACAAGGAUUCCCUUAGUAACGGCGAGUGAACCGGGAAAAGCUCAAAUUUGUAAUCUGGCUGUCUUCGAUAGUCCGAGUUGUAAUCUAUAGACGUGUUUUCCGUGCUGGACCGUAUCUAAGUCCCUUGGAACAGGGUAUCAAAGAGGGUGACAAUCCCGUGCUUGAUACGACCACCAGUGCUCUGUGAUACACGCUCUACGAGUCGAGUUGUUUGGGAAUGCAGCUCAAAAUGGGUGGUAAAUUCCAUCUAAAGCUAAAUAUUGGCGAGAGACCGAUAGCGAACAAGUACCGUGAGGGAAAGAUGAAAAGCACUUUGGAAAGAGAGUUAAACAGUACGUGAAAUUGUUGAAAGGGAAACGAUUGAAGUCAGUCGUGUUCUUUGGAUUCAGCUAGUUCUUCUAGUCUACUUCCAUUGAACGGGUCAACAUCAGUUUUGUCCGGUGGAUAAAGAUAGUAGGAAUGUAGCUCCCCCGGGGAGUGUUAUAGACUAUUAUUGCAUACACUGGGUGAAGACUGAGGACUGCAGCUCGCCUUUUGGCCGGUCUUCGGACCACGUUCGAGCUUAGGAUGUUGACAUAAUGGCUUUAAACGACCCGUCUUGAAACACG